UUUCUUCCGAUCAAGCAAAUCAAGUGGCUCAUCAUCUGAUUGGUCAGACAAGUGCUCAGGCAAAUUCUUCUUCAGUCUGAUAUUGGACCUAGAUACAGAUCUCUGUCAGUCAAAAUUGAUUUUCGGAACCAAACCUUGCAUUGCAGACAGUCAUUAGAAGAAAGGACAAGUUAAAAGUUACAGUUACAGCUUACCUAAAUGAAGAUGCUGCUGAUUUUGGAUGUAAGAAAGCCUUGCUCCCUCUAGAAAUCAUGUAUUCUGCAUUGCUAUUGCCACUAUCCCCAUCAAAAUCCGAAAAAAUCUUUGUAUGAUUCCACAAGCUUUGUCUGAAAAAUAAUUAUAUUAUUGGUUUUGAUGCAGCUUAAAACAUGGCUCGCAAUUUCAACAAAGCACAAAAUUCACUAAAAUAAAAUGUUAGAAUGAAGUUAAAAAGCAGAAGACUAAUCAUAAAACUCAACUAAAUAAAUAAAACCAAAUUAUAGGCAAUAUUCAUUGAACCAGAAAUUUUUUUGGGAGAUACAACAAGCAUGUCAUUUUAAAAUGGCUGUGUAUGUCUUAUCAAGAAGAUUGCUGGUGGACCAAUCCUAAAAACCAUUCUUCUGUCAUUUUAAUUUACAGGACGUAAAAUUUUAUGUAAAAUGAAUAUACACAUCACACAAUAGACCAUAGUUGUGAAUUCAACACUGUAGCACUGCGAUAGCAUAGUAGAUCAUAGUUGGAACAAGAGUUUUUUUUAGGUCCGUCUUGAAAAGGUUGUAGCGGCUAGGAAAUCCAGUUUUUUUACGCUUGGCACCCAUGUUCACACACGAUCACGGCAUGAUUGACUACAAUGUGCAAUAGCAGUAGCUUCUCAGACCUAAGCUGCUCCAACCAUUUUGAGUUUACAUUGUGUGUUCCGGUUGCCGCCACUGUUGUGCCAAAACGGUGCAACUGAACAAGGGUUUAAACUUGUUUACCCCAUAAUAGUAUCAAUGAAGGUCGGUUUUGGGGGACACUUACAAUUACACCUGUUUCAUUCUGAAAAAAGAAAGGGGUUCAAAAUUAAAACCCCCUACUCCAAAAUGGUUACACAUGCCCAGCCCAUGUCUCAAGCACAACCCACUAUGUUCCAGUGCCAUCUCCAGCCAUUGCUUAAGUUUUGAUGCCAUCCUCAUGUUUCCAGCAUUGUUCUGUUUUCUGGCACAAUCUCUAGAACUCUUUUUGCCGUUUCUGUUCUCAUCUCACUGUUCUCAGCUCUCUAAGACUCUUCUGCCCUUUCAUUUUGUUGCAGCAGCUGUCUUUAAUUUUGGUUUUUCAUUUUAUUUUUGAACAUUUAUAUAUGAAACAUAACUUAUUUAAUUUGCCUCUAAAUUUCCAUAUAGUGACCAUCCCACUAUCCUACUCAGUGGUUUUGGGCACCCCUGAUCAGCGCCACUAUUUGGGAUUUCAGUAUAUAUAUGCAUGUAAAAUGCUAGAAGUGCAAGGGGAAAGAAUGUUAGAUAUAUUGUGUCACACACUGAGGUGUGUGGGACUUAAACCACUGUCUUUGUUUCUUAUUAAUGCAAAUAAAUACAUAAUUGUUACCUGGA